UCUCCCGCUUCUCCUCCCUGAGCGGGGCCAGGUCGCACAAGCGCGAUAUGGCGUUAUUGCCCUGGAGAUACUCCCCUUUCUCCAGGGCCUUUUUUU
rnacentral:ncRNA from 1 species